UUAAUUAAAACCAAAUUAGAGGUAUAUUACUGUUAAUAAUAAAAGUGAAUUUUUAUUCUAAUUAAU
rnacentral:tRNA from 1 species